rnacentral:lncRNA from 1 species
AUUUUCUCAUGAAUCAGUUGCUCAAAUUUGAUGAUAUCGUUGCAGAAAGAAAUGCUCGAGUAUAAGAAGUUUCAAACUUGAUUGCAACAAGAACAUAAUUAUUGCUUACAUGCAAGAACAAUAUUGGGCAGUGGGUAACUUAAACAGAAAUAGAAAAUUUUGAGCAUGUCUGAUCCAAAAUGUUUAUUUAUUUUAGAUGCAUAUAUCCUGAAUACAAUGAACCAGAAAAGUUAAAAAAAGAGUUUAAUGAGAAAGACUCAUCAACUGGUAGUUAACACAUCAUAGCAACAAAUUUUAUGACCAAACAACAACAUAUAUAUAUUAAAAACUGAAAUAUAAAUUAUACAAUAUAUUUUUUUUAUCGAAAGACUAUGAAAUAAAAUUUAGUUUGUUGACUAAAAAAUAUUAAGUUAUGUUGGGAAAAAGUAUAUUGUAUAUUUGUGAUAAAAAUUCCCGUCACAUACGUGAUUACAAAUUUAAUUAAAUGAAAUUACAAAAUAUAACAUGAUAUAUACCUUCAAACAUUUAUACAGUUUUUUAUAACAUUUAAUGUCAAAAAAUCAGAAAGGUUUGAGAAGAAAAACUCAUCAA